GACGAACGCUGGCGGCGUGCUUAACACAUGCAAGUCGAACGGUGAAGGUGGAGCUUGCUCUGCUGGAUCAGUGGCGAACGGGUGAGUAACACGUGAGCAAUCUGCCCCGAACUCUGGGAUAACCACGGGAAACCGUGGCUAAUACUGGAUAUGUACCGCGACCGCAUGGUCUGUGGUUGGAAAGAUUUUUCGGUUCGGGAUGAGCUCGCGGCCUAUCAGCUUGUUGGUGAGGUAAUGGCUCACCAAGGCGACGACGGGUAGCCGGCCUGAGAGGGUGACCGGCCACACUGGGACUGAGACACGGCCCAGACUCCUACUGGAGGCAGCAGGGGGGAAUAUUGCACAAUGGGCGCAAGCCUGAUGCAGCAACGCCGCGUGAGGGAUGACGGCCUUCGGGUUGUAAACCUCUUUUAGCAGGGAAGAAGCGAAAGUGACGGUACCUGCAGAAAAAGCACCGGCUAACUACGUGCCAGCCGCCGCAGUAAAAC
rnacentral:rRNA from 1 species